UCCUCUUUCCUCGGCUUGUGUGAGGACUCGAGUAGCUCCAGCUCUCCAGACAUGCGGCUCUCACGCCUUGAGACGCGUUCACGUCUCAUUGUGACGUUUUGUGCAGCCGAGCCGCCGUGAACAGGUAACUUCACACCUCCUGAGUAGUGAACGAGACUUUAAAGCGCCCGGGAGUGUGCAGCCGGUCACAUGCGCGGUCGUGCUAGCUGUGAGCUAAGCUAACACGUGGAGGAAGACCACGCUUCGGCCACUAAGGAAUCAUCCAACAUGGUGGAAUGCAACACGAUGAAAGGUCCGAGAUCCGGGCGUCGGCUGUCCCUGGUCGACUGAGCGCGAGGCGUCCUGAUGAUAAGGAUGUAAGGAGCUGCUACACAUGACUACCAGAGGCCACGUGGGUACCAGGAUCUGUUCAUCAGGUCCGAGAUCCGGGCGUCGUCCGUCCCUGGUAGACUGAGUGAGGCGUCCUGCUGAUAAGGAUGUAAGGAGCUGCUACACAUGACUACCAGAGGCCACGUGGGUACCAGGAUCUGUUCAUCAGAUGAAAUCAACGGAGAGGUGGACGACCCCACAGUUUAAUGGCAUGGAUCUGUUAAUACGCUUUAUCAAGUUUGAACUGGGACAUCUAGAGCUGUAAUGGUGACAGGCCGCCUGGUCCUUUAUCACAUGUCUGAAAAGAGUUUAAAGACUGUUUGAACUGAAAUGUGAUUAAUGAAAAAGUUGUUUAAAAGUGUGUAAAAUGCAAAUAAAUGCAAUGUCGGCACGUU